rnacentral:rRNA from 1 species
GAUGAACGCUGGCGGCGUGCCUAAUACAUGCAAGUCGAGCGAACAGACGAGGAGCUUGCUCCUCUGACGUUAGCGGCGGACGGGUGAGUAACACGUGGAUAACCUACCUAUAAGACUGGGAUAACUUCGGGAAACCGGAGCUAAUACCGGAUAAUAUAUUGAACCGCAUGGUUCAAUAGUGAAAGACGGUUUUGCUGUCACUUAUAGAUGGAUCCGCGCCGCAUUAGCUAGUUGGUAAGGUAACGGCUUACCAAGGCAACGAUGCGUAGCCGACCUGAGAGGGUGAUCGGCCACACUGGAACUGAGACACGGUCCAGACUCCUACGGGAGGCAGCAGUAGGGAAUCUUCCGCAAUGGGCGAAAGCCUGACGGAGCAACGCCGCGUGAGUGAUGAAGGUCUUCGGAUCGUAAAACUCUGUUAUUAGGGAAGAACAAAUGUGUAAGUAACUAUGUACGUCUUGACGGUACCUAAUCAGAAAGCCACGGCGAACUACGU